rnacentral:lncRNA from 1 species
AAAAGACAAUGAUGCAGCAGAAAUUGAUAAAUUUAGCUGUGUUUUUAGACUAUCCGAAAGUAAUAUAUUUGGUAAUGCUGCUUAUUGCUUGACCAAAAACAAACAAAUGAAAUCGUGUAAACUAGAGAAUCUUCCCGAAAAAGAAGAUGUUAAAAUGGUUAAUGAUUAUAUUAUAUUAAAAUUAGGAUGUUUCACAAAAAUUCCGUCUCAUUUAUUUGAUUCAGAAAAUUUCAUUGAGUUGAGAGAUAUCGUUUGUGCCAGAAUAACAUUAUUUCAUGCCAGAAGAGGUGGUGAACCAGCAAGGCUUCAACUGUAUCAGUAUUAUGAAGUAGUUAAUGAUAAAACCAUUGAUAAACAACGACUUAUAGAACUAAAUGACUAUCAAAAGUUUUGAUAAAGUCUGUUAAAGUUGCUUUUAUGGCUGGGAAGGGCUUAUAACGUCACCGUUUUUUUCGACCUGACACGCUUCCUGGCUUAAAUAUCCUUUCUAAUUCAAUUAUGAGAGAGCAUGUAGGCAUUCCAAAAGAAAAUAUAUUUUUAUUUGCAAAUACAAGAAGUUCUGAUAGGCGCACUUCUGGUUGGAAGGCAAUUCAUGGCGUUGCUUCUAAACUACCCUUAAUAAAACCUGAUCAUUUGAAGGCAAAAAAUAAUAGGCAUUUGAUGCUAGUUUUACAGCCAUAACAAAUACUUCAGAAGAAAAUAAAGAUAGUCCAAGUUGUUCAAAACAAACUAAAUAUUCUAAUGAGGAAAAAGAUG